rnacentral:rRNA from 1 species
UGGGGAAUUUUGCGCAAUGGGGGCAACCCUGACGCAGCAACGCCGCGUGGAGGAUGAAGUCCCUUGGGACGUAAACUCCUUUCGAUCGGGACGAUAAUGACGGUACCGAGAGAAGAAGCCCCGGCUAACUUCGUGCCAGCAGCCGCGGUAAUACGAGGGGGGCAAGCGUUGUUCGGAAUUAUUGGGCGUAAAGGGUGCGUAGGCGGUUCGGUAAGUUUCCAGUGAAAUCUAUGGGCUCAACCCAUAGCCUGCUGGGAAAACUGCCGGGCUUGAGUAUGGGAGAGGUGAGUGGAAUUUCCGGUGUAGCGGUGAAAUGCGUAGAUAUCGGAAGGAACACCUGUGGCGAAAGCGGCUCACUGGACCAUAACUGACGCUGAGGCACGAAAGCUAGGGGAGCAAACAG